GAUGAACGCUGGCGGCGUGCUUAACACAUGCAAGUCGAACGAAGCACUUUAUUUGAUUUCCUUCGGGACUGAUUAUUUUGUGACUGAGUGGCGGACGGGUGAGUAACGCGUGGGUAACCUGCCUUGUACAGGGGGAUAACAGUUGGAAACGGCUGCUAAUACCGCAUAAGCGCACAGCAUCGCAUGAUGCAGUGUGAAAAACUCCGGUGGUAUAAGAUGGACCCGCGUUGGAUUAGCUAGUUGGUGAGGUAACGGCCCACCAAGGCGACGAUCCAUAGCCGACCUGAGAGGGUGACCGGCCACAUUGGGACUGAGACACGGCCCAAACUCCUACGGGAGGCAGCAGUGGGGAAUAUUGCACAAUGGGCGAAAGCCUGAUGCAGCGACGCCGCGUGAGCGAAGAAGUAUUUCGGUAUGUAAAGCUCUAUCAGCAGGGAAGAUAAUGACGUUACCUGACUAAGAAGCACCGGCUAACUACGUG
rnacentral:rRNA from 1 species